rnacentral:lncRNA from 1 species
AAUAGAUCCUCCUCCUCUCACUCCAUCACUGGCGGCUCCCGGUUCCCUCUGACAAGCUGGCAUCUCCCUGGCCAGACGAGGCUGAAAUCAAAGGCCUGAAAUUGGAGCUGAAAACUUUUCCUCCAAUAGCUGGUGGGGAGGAAUCAGGAGACCGGGAUCCUCUGUCGGUCUGUGCUGGGCGAGAUUCUCCUAUUGUCCUCACUGAGACCCGGUGGAUGAUCCGCCCUGCUUCACCGAGGGGGUGGCAGGCUUGGAGACGUGCAGUCAUUUAUCCCCAGGGUUCUUACCCUCUGGUGUGCAUCCAUGUUCCUGAGAUCUGCAGGGGGGACCCGAGAAUCACCACUGCUAACGAGGUCCCAACGGGUGGGGCUGGUCCAUGGGCUGCUCUGAGAGGCCCUGGUUUAUUGACUAUAUUCCAAGGGUGGGUAACUGGUUUUAGGUGUCAGGUGAGAAAACAGAUGUGGUUCCUGCCCUCUCAUUGGGUGGAAUUGACCUGGGGCAUCACAGGACAGGUAGGAAAGUGGGUUCUAGAAUCUGACCAGCUUAGCCGGCUGGGCGUGGUGGUGCACACUUGUAAUCCCAGUGGCUCGGGAGGCUGAGGCAGGAGGAUCAUGAGUUCCAAGCCAGCCUCAGCAAAAGUGAGGAGCUAAGCAACUCAUCGAGACCCUGUCUCUAAAUAAAAUACAAUAAAAAGGGCUCAGGAUGUGGCUUCACAGUUGAGUGCCCCUGAGUUCAAUCCCUGGUACCCCCUAAAAAAGUAUCCCACAAGUUUGAUCAGAGCCCUGGUUCAGCUGGUUAUAGCUGGUAGUUUCCCUGACUCCUCAGAGCCUCUAUUUUUGUAGCUGUCUAAUGGGAAUAUUUGUGUUUCCUGACUCAGAAGGUAAAAGUGAGGAUCAAUUGAAGACAGGCAUGUAAACAUAUGCGCUCAGAAAUAGAAUAAAA